rnacentral:rRNA from 1 species
CGGGUGAAGUAACACGUGAACGGAACCUCGACCCCGAAGACCGGGACUAACCCUCCGAAAGGAGAGCUAAUACCGGACUACCCCACCGGAUCGCAUGAUCUGGUGAGGAAAUGGAUUCCGCUUCGGGAGGGCCUCGCGGCCUAUCAGCUAGUUGGUGGGGUAACGGCCCACCAAGGCAUCGACGGGUAGCUGGUCUGAGAGGACGAUCAGCCACACUGGGACUGAGACACGGCCCAGACUCCUACGGGAGGCAGCAGUGGGAAUCUUGCGCAAUGGGCGAAAGCCUGACGCAGCAACGCCGCGUGGGGAUGAAGGCUCUCGGGUUGUAAACCCCUUUCAGCAGGGACGAAUCAAGACGGUACCUGCAGAAGAAGCCCCGGCUAACUACGUG